rnacentral:rRNA from 1 species
GACGAACGCUGGCGGCGUGCCUAAUACAUGCAAGUAGAACGCUGAAGGAGGAGCUUGCUUCUCUGGAUGAGUUGCGAACGGGUGAGUAACGCGUAGGUAACCUGCCUGGUAGCGGGGGAUAACUAUUGGAAACGAUAGCUAAUACCGCAUAAGAGUAGAUGUCGCAUGACAUUUGCUUAAAAGGUGCAAUUGCAUCACUACCAGAUGGACCUGCGUUGUAUUAGCUAGUUGGUGAGGUAACGGCUCACCAAGGCAACGAUACAUAGCCGCCCUGGGAGGGUGAUCGGCCACACUGGGACUGAGACACGGCCCAGGCUCCUACGGGAAGCAGCAGUAGGGAAUCUUCGGCAAUGGACGGAAGUCUGACCGAAGAAAGGCGCGUGAGUGAAGGAGGGUUUCGGAUCGGAAAGCUCUGUUGUAAGGGAAGAACGAGUGUGAGAGGGGAAAGUUCACACUGUGACGGUAUCUUACCAGAAAGGGACGGCUAACUACGUG